rnacentral:rRNA from 1 species
AUUGAACGCUGGCGGCAGGCCUAACACAUGCAAGUCGAACGGUAACAGGAAGCAGCUUGCUGCUUUGCUGACGAGUGGCGGACGGGUGAGUAAUGUCUGGGAAACUGCCCGAUGGAGGGGGAUAACUACUGGAAACGGUAGCUAAUACCGCAUAACGUCGCAAGACCAAAGAGGGGGACCUUAGGGCCUCUUGCCAUCGGAUGUGCCCAGAUGGGAUUAGCUAGUAGGUGGGGUAACGGCUCACCUAGGCGACGAUCCCUAGCUGGUCUGAGAGGAUGACCAGCCACACUGGAACUGAGACACGGUCCAGACUCCUACGGGAGGCAGCAGUGGGGAAUAUUGCACAAUGGGCGCAAGCCUGAUGCAGCCAUGCCGCGUGUAUGAAGAAGGCCUUCGGGUUGUAAAGUACUUUCAGCGGGGAGGAAGGAAGUAAAGUUAAUACCUGUGCUCAUUGACGUUACCCGCAGAAGAAGCACCGGCUAACUCCGUG